rnacentral:rRNA from 1 species
GUGUCAGCAGCCGCGGUAAGACGGAGGAGGCUAGCGUUGUUCGGAAUUACUGGGCGUAAAGCGCACGCAGGCGGCGUGCCAAGUCGGAGGUGAAAUCCCGGGGCUCAACCCCGGAACGGCCUCCGAUACUGGCAUGCUGGAACGAGGGAGAGGAGAGCGGAAUUCCCAGUGUAGAGGUGAAAUUCGUAGAUAUUGGGAAGAACACCGGUGGCGAAGGCGGCUCUCUGGCCCUCUGUUGACGCUCAUGUGCGAAAGCGUGGGGAGCAAACAGGAUUAGAUACCCUGGUAGUCCACGCCGUAAACGAUGGAUGCUAGAUGUCGGGGGGCUUGCCCUUCGGUGUCGCAGUUAACGCGUUAAGCAUCCCGCCUGGGGAGUACGGCCGCAAGGUUAAA